rnacentral:rRNA from 1 species
AUGCUUACAGUGCAGCUCUCAUGCUCGUGGUUUUUGAAAUGGGGCAAAGAUGAUUCAGAUUCUAGUAAUCAUGAUAGGCUCCUUCACAGCAAGCAGCAAUUGGGUGUUCUGAGUACAGCAUUUCCAAGUAAUGUCUAUCUUCAGUUCGUGCAAUUUUGGCUGUUAUUGUCUUUUGCUACAGCUGGUAUCACGAUGCAAUGGCAAUGGGACAAGCAUCAGUCGCGGGACAAAAAUUCACAACAUAUUUUUAUGUUGCCUCGUCCCCCUUCUGAACCAAUAUCAUGCGAGGUUAAUCAUGGCUGGUAUUUCGGCACUCUCAAACUAUUUGCGAUUCAGGCUAUACAAUUUGCAACAAAGAUUCAUUAUUCGGAUUCCAGUCUAUUUGGUAGUGUAUCAUCUCCCUUUGGGCAUAAACAAAGGUUUCCCUGGACUCCGGAUACUUCAGCUAGCGGCGAUCACCUUGAGCAAUUGUGGGAUCCUAGAGGCCUUGCGAGCUAUAUAUGCAGUACAUGUGCAUUGACUCCCUGA